rnacentral:rRNA from 1 species
CUAUGCGCCUUGCCAGCCCGCUCAGGUGUGCCAGCGCCGCGGUAAUACGGAGGAUGCGAGCGUUAUCCGGAUUUAUUGGGUUUAAAGGGUGCGUAGGCGGUCCGUUAAGUCAGCGGUAAAAUUGCGGGGCUCAACCCCGUCGAGCCGUUGAAACUGGCAGACUUGAGUUGGCGAGAAGUACGCGGAAUGCGCGGUGUAGCGGUGAAAUGCAUAGAUAUCGCGCAGAACUCCGAUUGCGAAGGCAGCGUACCGGCGCCACACUGACGCUGAGGCACGAAAGCGUGGGGAUCGAACAGG